GCAGUGGUAGUUCAGUGGUAAAAUUUUUGACUUCCAAGCAGGACACCCAGGUUCGAUUCCUGGCCAGUGCA
rnacentral:tRNA from 1 species